rnacentral:rRNA from 1 species
CACUAUCGUUAACUGAAUACAUAGGUUAACGAGGCGAACCGGGGGAACUGAAACAUCUAAGUACCCCGAGGAAAAGAAAUCAACCGAGAUUCCCCCAGUAGCGGCGAGCGAACGGGGAGCAGCCCAGAGUCUGAAUCAGCUUGUGUGUUAGUGGAACGGUCUGGAAAGUCCGACGGUACAGGGUGAUAGUCCCGUACACCAAAAUGCACAGGCUGUGAACUCGAAGAGUAGGGCGGGACACGUGGUAUCCUGUCUGAAUAUGGGGGGACCAUCCUCCAAGGCUAAAUACUCCUGACUGACCGAUAGUGAACCAGUACCGUGAGGGAAAGGCGAAAAGAACCCCGGCGAGGGGAGUGAAAAAGAACCUGAAACCGUGUACGUACAAGCAGUGGGAGCACCUUCGGGUGUGACUGCGUACCUUUUGUAUAAUGGGUCAGCGACUUAUAUUCUGUAGCAAGGUUAACCGUAUAGGGGAGCCGCAGGGAAACCGAGUCUUAACUGGGCGUUAAGUUGCAGGGUAUAGACCCGAAACCCGGUGAUCUAGCCAUGGGCAGGUUGAAGGUUGGGUAACACUAACUGGAGGACCGAACCGACUAAUGUUGAAAAAUUAGCGGAUGACUUGUGGCUGGGGGUGAAAGGCCAAUCAAACCGGGAGAUAGCUGGUUCUCCCCGAAAGCUAUUUAGGUAGCGCCUCGUGAACUCAUCUUCGGGGGUAGAGCACUGUUUCGGCUAGGGGGUCAUCCCGACUUACCAACCCGAUGCAAACUACGAAUACCGAAGAAUGUUAUCACGGGAGACACACGGCGGGUGCUAACGUCCGUCGUGAAGAGGGAAACAACCCAGACCGCCAGCUAAGGUCCCAAAGUCAUGGUUAAGUGGGAAACGAUGUGGGAAGGCACAGACAGCCAGGAUGUUGGCUUAGAAGCAGCCAUCAUUUAAAGAAAGCGUAAUAGCUCACUGGUCGAGUCGGCCUGCGCGGAAGAUGUAACGGGGCUAAACCAUGCACCGAAGCUGCGGCAGCGACACUAUGUGUUGUUGGGUAGGGGAGCGUUCUGUAAGCCUGCGAAGGUGUGCUGUGAGGCAUGCUGGAGGUAUCAGAAGUGCGAAUGCUGACAUAAGUAACGAUAAAGCGGGUGAAAAGCCCGCUCGCCGGAAGACCAAGGGUUCCUGUCCAACGUUAAUCGGGGCAGGGUGAGUCGACCCCUAAGGCGAGGCCGAAAGGCGUAGUCGAUGGGAAACAGGUUAAUAUUCCUGUACUUGGUGUUACUGCGAAGGGGGGACGGAGAAGGCUAUGUUAGCCGGGCGACGGUUGUCCCGGUUUAAGCAUGUAGGCUGGUUAUCCANNNNNNNNNNNNNNNNNNNNNNNNNNNNNNNNNNNNNNNNNNNNNNNNNNNNNNNNNNNNNNNNNNNNNNNNNNNNNNNNNNNNNNNNNNUAUCCAGGCAAAUCCGGAUAAUCAAGGCUGAGGUGUGAUGACGAGGCACUACGGUGCUGAAGUAACAAAUGCCCUGCUUCCAGGAAAAGCCUCUAAGCAUCAGGUAACAUCAAAUCGUACCCCAAACCGACACAGGUGGUCAGGUAGAGAAUACCAAGGCGCUUGAGAGAACUCGGGUGAAGGAACUAGGCAAAAUGGUGCCGUAACUUCGGGAGAAGGCACGCUGGUGUGUAGGUGAAGUCCCUGCGGAUGGAGCUGAGACCAGUCGAAGAUACCAGCUGGCUGCAACUGUUUAUUAAAAACACAGCACUGUGCAAACACGAAAGUGGACGUAUACGGUGUGACGCCUGCCCGGUGCCGGAAGGUUAAUUGAUGGGGUUAUCCGUAAGGAGAAGCUCUUGAUCGAAGCCCCGGUAAACGGCGGCCGUAACUAUAACGGUCCUAAGGUAGCGAAAUUCCUUGUCGGGUAAGUUCCGACCUGCACGAAUGGCGUAAUGAUGGCCAGGCUGUCUCCACCCGAGACUCAGUGAAAUUGAACUCGCUGUGAAGAUGCAGUGUACCCGCGGCAAGACGGAAAGACCCCGUGAACCUUUACUAUAGCUUGACACUGAACAUUGAGCCUUGAUGUGUAGGAUAGGUGGGAGGCUUUGAAGCGUGGACGCCAGUCUGCGUGGAGCCAACCUUGAAAUACCACCCUUUAAUGUUUGAUGUUCUAACGUUGGCCCCUGACCGGGGUUGCGGACAGUGUCUGGUGGGUAGUUUGACUGGGGCGGUCUCCUCCCAAAGCGUAACGGAGGAGCACGAAGGUUAGCUAAUCCUGGUCGGACAUCAGGAGGUUAGUGCAAUGGCAUAAGCUAGCUUGACUGCGAGCGUGACGGCGCGAGCAGGUGCGAAAGCAGGUCAUAGUGAUCCGGUGGUUCUGAAUGGAAGGGCCAUCGCUCAACGGAUAAAAGGUACUCCGGGGAUAACAGGCUGAUACCGCCCAAGAGUUCAUAUCGACGGCGGUGUUUGGCACCUCGAUGUCGGCUCAUCACAUCCUGGGGCUGAAGUAGGUCCCAAGGGUAUGGCUGUUCGCCAUUUAAAGUGGUACGCGAGCUGGGUUUAGAACGUCGUGAGACAGUUCGGUCCCUAUCUGCCGUGGGCGCUGGAGAAUUGAGGGGGGCUGCUCCUAGUACGAGAGGACCGGAGUGGACGCAUCACUGGUGUUCGGGUUGUCAUGCCAAUGGCACUGCCCGGUAGCUAAAUGCGGAAGAGAUAAGUGCUGAAAGCAUCUAAGCACGAAACUUGCCCCGAGAUGAGUUCUCCCUGAGACU